AGUGAACGCUGGCGGCGUGCUUAAUACAUGCAAGUCGAACGAUGAAGUCCUAGCUUGCUAGGAUGGAUUAGUGGCGCACGGGUGAGUAAUAUAUAGUUAAUCUGCCUUGCACUGAGGAACAACAGUUGGAAACGAUUGCUAAUACCUCAUACUCCAACUUUACAUAAGUUAAGUUGGGAAAGUCUUUUCGGUGCAAGAUGAGACUAUUUCGUAUCAGCUAGUUGGUAAGGUAAUGGCUUACCAAGGCUAUGACGCGUAACUGGUCUGAGAGGAUGAUCAGUCACAUUGGAACUGAGACACGGUCCAAACUCCUACGGGAGGCAGCAGUAAGGAAUAUUGUGCAAUGGGGGAAACCCUGACGCAGCAACGCCGCGUGGAGGAUGACACUUUUCGGAGCGUAAACUCCUUUUGUUAGGGAAGAAUAAUGACGGUACCUAACGAAUAAGCACCGGCUAACUCCGUG
rnacentral:rRNA from 1 species